rnacentral:rRNA from 1 species
GAUGAACGCUGACAGAAUGCUUAACACAUGCAAGUCUUUGGCGAAGCUGUGCUUGCACAGCCUAGCCAAGGCGGACGGGUGAGUAACGCGUAAGGAACUUGCCCUGCAGUCAGGGAUAACAGACGGAAACGACUGAUAAGACCUGGUAAAGUCAGGCGGACUCAUGUCCAGCCUGAUGAAAAGAGAUGCUGCAGGAGAGCCUUGCGUCCUAUUAGCUUGUUGGUGGGGUAACGGCCCACCAAGGCGAUGAUAGGUAGCCGGCCUGAGAGGGUGGACGGCCACAAAGGGACCGAGAUACCGGCCCUACUCCCUCCGGGGGCAAGAGGUGGGAAAAAUUGGCCAAUGGGGGAAACCUUGACCAACAAAUCUUGGGUCACGAUUGAGGGUUUCGGAUUGUAAAGUGCUUUCAGCAGGGAAGAAAAAAAUGACGGUACCUGCAGAAGAAGCGACGGCUAAAUACGUG